GACGAACGCUGGCGGCGUGCUUAACACAUGCAAGUCGAACGGAAAGGCCCUGCUUGCAGGGUACUCGAGUGGCGAACGGGUGAGUAACACGUGGGUGAUCUGCCCUGCACUUCGGGAUAAGCCUGGGAAACUGGGUCUAAUACCGGAUAGGAGCCAUUUUUAGUGUGAUGGUUGGAAAGUUUUUUCGGUGUAGGAUGAGCUCGCGGCCUAUCAGCUUGUUGGUGGGGUAAUGGCCUACCAAGGCGGCGACGGGUAGCCGGCCUGAGAGGGUGGACGGCCACAUUGGGACUGAGAGACGGCCCAGACUCCUACGGGGGGCAGCAGGGGGGAAUAUUGCACAAUGGGCGCAAGCCUGAUGCAGCGACGCCGCGUGGGGGAUGACGGCCUUCGGGUUGUAAACUCCUUUCGCUAGGGACGAAGCUUUUUGUGACGGUACCUAGAUAAGAAGCACCGGCUAACUACGUG
rnacentral:rRNA from 1 species